UUAAGUAGUGGUGCCGUUCUUAUUAAAUCUCAAAAAGUAAUAAGAGCUGUUCAUUACUUAUCA
rnacentral:pre_miRNA from 1 species